AUCCGGUCUCUAAAUAAUUGGGCCUUCGACUUUGCUUAUGUUAGGACAAGGUUCUCCUCCUGUUCCUAAUAUGAUUGUGGGGGUGCAUUAGGACCGUUAUAAGGGCCUCUCCCCCCAUCCGGUCUCUAAAUAAUCAGACCUUCGACUUUGCUUGUGUUAGGAUGAGGUUCUCCUCUUGUUCCUAACAUGACUGUAGGAGCGCAUUAGGG
rnacentral:lncRNA from 1 species